rnacentral:rRNA from 1 species
GGUAGGACUACCCGCUGAACUUAAGCAUAUCAAUAAGCGGAGGAAAAGAAACUAACAAGGAUUCCCCUAGUAACUGCGAGUGAAGCGGGAAAAGCUCAAAUUUAAAAUCUGG